rnacentral:piRNA from 1 species
GCAGGAUGAUGCAAGAAUAAGCACUGAAA